rnacentral:rRNA from 1 species
UACGUAGGGUGCGAGCGUUGUCCGGAAUUAUUGGGCGUAAAGAGCUCGUAGGCGGUGUGUCGCGUCGGCCGUGAAAACCUGCAGCUUAACUGUGGGCUUGCGGUCGAUACGGGCAUCACUGGAGUUCGGCAGGGGAGACUGGAAUUCCUGGUGUAGCGGUGGAAUGCGCAGAUAUCAGGAGGAACACCGGUGGCGAAGGCGGGUCUCUGGGCAGUAACUGACGCUGAGGAGCGAAAGCGUGGGGAGCGAACAGG